rnacentral:misc_RNA from 1 species
UGUGGGAGGGGGCUUGCUCCCGAUAGCGGUGUAUCAGUCAGCAAAUGUGUAUCUGAUGUACUGCUAUCGGGGGCAAGCCCCCUCCCAUA